UACGUAGGGGCCUAGCGUUGUCCGGAUUUAUUGGGCGUAAAGAGCGUGUAGGCGGCUUUACAGGUCCGUUGUGAAAACUCGAGGCUCAACCUCGAGACGCCGGUGGAAACCGUAAAGCUAGAGUCCGGAAGAGGAGAGUGGAAUUCCUGGUGUAGCGGUGAAAUGCGCAGAUAUCAGGAGGAACACCCGUGGCGAAAGCGGCUCUCUGGGACGGUACUGACGCUGAGACGCGAAAGCGUGGGGAGCAAACAGG
rnacentral:rRNA from 1 species